CAGUAGCCGCGGGAAUACGAAGGUCCCGAGCGUUGUUCGGAAUCACUGGGCGUAAAGGGAGCGUAGGCGGCGUGGUAAGUCAGAUGUGAAAUCCCGGGGCUCAACCCCGGAACUGCAUCCGAUACUGCCAUGCUAGAGGAUUGGAGAGGCAGCUGGAAUUCUUGGUGUAGCAGUGAAAUGCGUGGAGAUCAAGAGGAACACUCGUGGCGAAAGCGAGCUACUGGACAAUAACUGACGCUGAGGCUCGAAGGCCAGGGUAGCGAAAGGGAUUAGAUACCCCUGUAGUCCCUGUCUCUUAUAC
rnacentral:rRNA from 1 species